rnacentral:tRNA from 1 species
UGCAGGGUAGAGCAAUUGGUUAGCUCGUCGGGUUGAUGAUCCCGAGCGUGUAGGUUCAAAUCCUACUCCUACAC